AACAAACGCUGGCGGCGUGCCUAAUACAUGCAAGUCGAACGGGGUAGCAAUACCUAGUGGCGCACGGGUGAGGAACGCGUGGAUAAUCUGCCUUAGAGUGGGGGAUAACUAGUCGAAAGCUUAGCUAAUACCGCAUAAGACCACAGGAGCUGCGGCUCUAGGGGUCCAAGGUUUUUCGCUCUAAGAUGAGUCCGCGUAAGAUUAGCUAGUUGGUGAGGUAACGGCUCACCAAGGCGACGAUCUUUAACUGGUCUGAGAGGAUGAUCAGUCACACUGGAACUGAGACACGGUCCAGACUCCUACGGGAGGCGGCAGUAGGGAAUAUUGCAAAAUGGAGGAAACUCUGAUGCAGCGACGCCGCGUGAGUGAUGAAGGCCUUCGGGUCGUAAAGCUCUGUCGCAGGGGAAUAACACAAUGAAGGUACCCUGUAAGAAAGGAUCGGCUAACUUCGUGCCAGCCGCCGCAGUAAAAC
rnacentral:rRNA from 1 species